rnacentral:rRNA from 1 species
UACGAAGGGGGCUAGCGUUGCUCGGAAUCACUGGGCGUAAAGCGCACGUAGGCGGCUUUUUAAGUCAGGGGUGAAAUCCUGGAGCUCAACUCCAGAACUGCCUUUGAUACUGAGAAGCUUGAGUCCGGGAGAGGUGAGUGGAAUUCCCAGUGUAGCGGUGAAAUGCGUAGAUAUUGGGAGGAACACCAGUGGCGAAGGCGGCUCACUGGACCGGAACUGACGCUGAGGCGCGAAAGCGUGGGGAGCAAACGAG